AUUUGGUGUUGGCUGAUCAGGCAUUGAUUGCAGGACCUAUCCCUACCUCUGCUGAAUUACAUUGCUUAGCUUCAACAAAGAAGAAACCUGCAGAUAUACAGGACGCCAGCACUAAUACUGAACCUGCUCCUUCUCCUCCAUUGUGUACUGACAGUAGAACAUCUGCAGACAUUCAAGCUUUGCAGACUUGCCCUCCAGUUUCAGCUCGUCAAAUACCGUCAAGUUUUGCCUCCAGAUGUUUUCCUAAAUCUCAGAUUUCCAAAGGAAUCCUCACAAGAACCCCUACCCACAAGCUCUUCAGAUCCUGCCAUCGUGCAGGUGGGUUGAAGUAUUGUCUGAAGAAAUGUCACUGUUUUAUCUAAAAGAUGUCUUUGCGAUUGGUUUUAAAUCCUGGAGUUCAAUAUCUUCAAAAAGUUCACUUUGCAAAGGGAAUAAAGA